UGUCUGCAUUUCUAACAAAAUUGGAACUGCCUCCAUUUCUUCCUGUGUGUGGUGCCCCCGACAUUGCGCUGAACAUGUUGCCUUCAUUAUCUCAUUUAGUCCCUGCAGCGGCCCAGAGCACAUCCUGCUGUGAAAUCUCUUCUAAUGAUUCUGGUGGUCUAGAAACAUCAGAUUCAUCUCAGGUUUUAGCCCAGAGAUUCUAAUUCAGUGGGAAUGAUGUGGGGCCAGGAAAUUUACCCUUUUCAAGUAAUCCCAGUGAUCCAAUGCGUAUGUAUGUUUGGCAGUGACUAUUUUAAUUAGUGGCUUAGUUACUUGGCUCUUGAACAAGACAGCGUGGGUCUGAUUCAUCUUUCUCCCUCUAGAGCUUGCUGCAGCAGAAACCCUCAGGGAAGAUGGCCGAAUGAAAAUUCAGAUGCAUGCUAAGUGUCAGGAGAGUGAAGAUGUCCAGUGUUGUGGGUCCUGAGCUUUCUGGAGGCCAGCCAGGGGGAUCUUCAGACCUCCACAGGGGUGCAUGACCACACAGUGACAACCCAGGACCAGCAGGAGCUGUAGGGAGCACAGAGGCUGACUUAGCAGAAAGAAGAACUUUCAUACUGACUCCCCUGAUGGGAGAGGAUUGCCCCAUCACAGCAAGUGGGCACAGACCUGAUGACUGUCUGGCAGGAAUUUUACAGAGCAGAUUCAUGCCAGGACUGGACUGUUGACUCCAAAGUCCCCACCAGCCCUGGAACAUGAAGUGACACCAGCUAGAGAUGCCUGGGUUUACCUGAGAGCAAGGUGGUCAGUGCAGUGUUUUGGUUCAGGACGUAGGUCCUCCGGGUUGACCUGCCCCCUCCCCAAGAGCUGGAGAGCCCUGAGAAGUACAGGAUGGAUCCUGUACUGUGGGAAUGUGCCAGGAAACAGAGACUCCCAACAUGAAUUGUCAUUUGUGGAGGGAGUGGCUGUUACCUGACUCUGUCUUCAUGCACCAGUGUAGCACAAACAGCGGCUUUAUUGGUGAUGCUUGGGAAGCUGUGGCAGAGCCCAGCAUGCAGGCUGUGAGGGCUCAGACAGCUUCCAGCACACAGGGGAUGAGGGGAUUAGCCUCAGUGGGCUCUGCUGCUUGGGGCACAUUGUCCCUUCUCAGUUCAUUGAGGCACGUGUGCAGGAAGAGGGUUCAGCACUUCACAAACUGGUGGGUGACCUCGUAGAUUCCCACAGAUUCCUGAGCUUUUUCGUCAUAGUCAGUCCAGUCCUGUGGGAAAAAUGGCCGUUAUUAGCCUCACGAGAUGGGACAGUGUGCACAAUGGUCACGAACUGGGACUUCAAACAUGUAUGACCCAGAACAGAGCCAGAUUCCGUUUUGGGCAAGUCACUUAACUUCUCUGAGUCUCAGUUCUAUUAAAAAAAAAGGGGGGGGGGGGGCGGGAACAGUAGCAGACCUCCAUCUUGAAAGAAUCUAAUGAGGUAACACAUGUAAAAGUAUUCAGCAUAGUACUGAGCGCAUAUAAGAGCUCAGUAAAUUUCAGUUACUGUUGUUAUUAGGUGCUAUGCAGACUGAAGUUUCUGUUCUUUUGAAGCCUGACCACAAGGCCUAUGUAAGACAGUAAUGUGGCCAGUAAUACAGUUGAUUCUUGUUAUUCAUGGUAGUUACAAUCUACAUAAUCACUACAAACACUGAAUUAGCAAACAGUGAACCGCUAUUCCCAGGGAAAAUAUAAGGUUAGGUUCUCAGAAGCAUCUGAUCACAUUUUCUUCAAUGAAUAUAUAACCUUGUUUUGGGUAGGUUUUUGUUAAAAAAAAAAACCAAAAAAACAAAAAACACCUUAUUUAACAUAUAUAGUUGAUUCAUUAAUAUUGAACUCCUAG